rnacentral:rRNA from 1 species
AAUCUUCCGCAAUGGGCGAAAGCCUGACGGAGCAACGCCGCGUGAACGAAGAAGGCCUUCGGGUCGUAAAGUUCUGUCCUCAGGGAAGAAACCUCAUGGUAGGGAAUGACCACGAGCUGACGGUACCUGGGAAGGAAGCCCUGGCUAACUACGUUCCAGCAGCCGCGGUAAUACGUAGAGGGCAAGCGUUGUCCGGAAUCACUGGGCGUAAAGGGUACGUAGGCGGAUAUAUAAGUCAAAUGUGAAAGGCAUCGGCUCAACCGGUGAGCUGCAUUUGAAACUGUAUAUCUUGAGUUCAGGAGAGGAGAGCGGAAUUCCUGGUGUAGCGGUGGAAUGCGUAGAUAUCAGGAAGAACACCAGUGGCGAAGGCGGCUCUCUGGCCUGAAACUGACGCUCAGGUACGAAAGCUGGGGUAGCGAA